CCUACGGGAGGCAGCAGUGAGGAAUAUUGGUCAAUGGCCGCAGGGCUGAACCAGCCAAGUAGCGUGAGGGAGGACGGUCCUAGGGAGGGUAAACCGCUAUUGUCAGGGAGCAAAGGGCGCCACGUGGGGCGUUUUGCGAGUACCUGAAGAAAAAGCAUCGGCUAACUCCGUGCCAGCAGCCGCGGUAAUACGGAGGAUGCGAGCUUUGUCCGGAUUUAGUGGGUGUAAAGGGUGAGCAGGCGGACUGUCAAGUCAGCGGUAAAAUUUCGGGGCUCAACCCCGUCGGGCCGUUGAAACUGGCGUUCUUGAGUGCGCGAGAGGUAUGCGGAAUGCGUGGUGUAUCGGU
rnacentral:rRNA from 1 species